rnacentral:rRNA from 1 species
AUGCCUCCUGGUAGCGAGGACGAGAGUGCGCCCCUGAGCGCCACCGACCGCAUCGGUGCACUCCCCGACCAUAUUCUCCACCACCUGCUCUCUUACCUCCCAGCGCAGGCAGCCGCGCGGACGUGCGUGCUUGCCUGGCGCUGGCGCCACCUUUGGAAGUCCACUACAGGCCUGCGCAUCGUCGGCCUUGACGAUGAGGAGACUGUCCAAGUUCAAGACCUCCGGAAGUUCAUGGAUCAUUGUCACGCCUUCCUCCAAUUCGGCGGACAGCGAGUCGCCGGCUCCAGACUCCCUGACAAAUGGACCGGCGAACGACGAUGA